rnacentral:tRNA from 1 species
GGGCUCUUAGUUCAGCUUGGCGGAACGCCGGCUUCGCAAGCAGGAGGCCGUGGGUUCAAAUCCCACAGAGUCCA